rnacentral:rRNA from 1 species
AUUGAACGCUGGCGGCAGGCCUAACACAUGCAAGUCGAGCGAGCGGCGGACGGGUGAGUAAUGUAUGGGGACUGCCCGAUAGAGGGGGAUAACUACUGGAAACGGUGGCUAAUACCGCAUACUAUCGGAUAACCCAUAUGGGAUUAGCUAGUAGGUGGGGUAAAGGCUCACCUAGGCGCCGAUCUCUAGCUGGUAUGAUAGGAUGAUUAGCCACACGGGGACUGAGAACCGGCACAGACUCCUACGGAGGAAGCCGUGGGGAAUAUUGAAAAAUGGGCGGAAGCCUGAUGCAGCAAUGCCGCGGGUAUGAAGAAGGCAUUAGGGUUGUCAAGGACUUUCAGCGGGGAGGCGUUACCCGCAGAAGAAGCACCGGCAAACUCCGUGCCAGCCGCAGCGGUAAAAC